GGGAGCACCGGAUCCUGGGCUGUGUCCCCCGGCGCCCUGUGCUCUGGGGCCUGCGCUGCUGGAAUCACGCUCUUGGGGAGUGCAGCUCCC
rnacentral:pre_miRNA from 1 species